CAAAGAAGGGGACACCCCCUGACCCCCCGCCCGGACCCCCCAAGUGACCUCGCUGUGGAUCCUCGGAGCCGUUGCCGCCUCCAGAAGCGAAAGGAAAAGCGCGGCCAGAACCGAAAGGAAAAGCGCCGCAACCGCCCCCAGUACGGCCGUGACCCCGAACUGGGCAGACUGGGGGGGCGGGGGACACCGAGGGGACACCGAGGGGACACAGAGCCGGGGGGGCAGCGGCUCCCGAAGCCCCCCCAGUGCUGUCCCCGCUGCUGUCCCGGGGUCACCUGGGCCGGGCGAAGGGAGGGAAACCCUGGGGGGACGCGGGAGGAGAGGGAGGGUCGUGCCAGGGACCGUGCCAGGGACCGUGCCAGGUGUCCUGCCAGGUGUCACAGGUGCCAGGUGUCACAGGUGCCAGGUGUCCUGACAGGUGUCCUGCCAGGUGUCACAGGUGCCAGGUGUCCUGCCAGGUGCCAGCCCAGGUGCCAGCCCAGGUGCUGUGACACUCGCCCGCCCCCAGGCCCCCCCCGCCAGUGGAGAGGGGAGGAGAACCCCGAGUGGACGUUGGGGUUGAGGCAGGAAGGGAUCAGGGACGGAACCCAAAUAAACGCCGGGGUAAUGACGGUCACUGUCACCGUCAUCGUCACCAUCGUCAUCGUCACCAUCGUUAUCAAUGUCAUCAUCGUCACCAUCGUCACCAUCGUUAUCAAUGUCAUCAUCGUCACCAUCGUCACCAUCGUCAUCAUCGUCACUGUCAUCAUCACCAUCGUCACCGCAAAUAAACAUCAAAGAUCAACCCCAAAACAGCCAAGAAGGGGCGGUCGGACCCCAAACUGCCACCCCUGGGUUCUCCAUCGCUCCGGCUGCUCCGUGUCCCAUCCCAGUGUCCAUCCCAAUGUCCCACCAUCCCAAUGUCCAUCCCUGUCCCAUCCCAAUGUCCAUCUGGGUCCCACCAUCCCAAUGUCCAUCCCAAUGUCCCACCAUCCCAAUGUCCAUCCGUGUCCCAUCCCAAUGUCCAUCCAUGUCCCACCAUCCCAAUGACCAUCCCUGUCCCAUCCCAAUGUCCCUCCCAAUGUCCCACCAUCCCAAUGUCCGUCCCGGUCCCAUCCCAAUGUCCCACCAUCCCAAUGUCCAUCCCAAUGUCCCACCAUCCCAAUGUCCACCCCAAU
rnacentral:lncRNA from 1 species